rnacentral:rRNA from 1 species
AUUGAACGCUGGCGGCAGGCCUAACACAUGCAAGUCGAGCGAGUGGCGGACGGGUGAGUAAUGUCUGGGAAUCUGCCCGAUAGAGGGGGCUAACUACUGGAAACGGUGGCUAAUACCGCAUACUAUCGGAUGUGCCCAUAUGGGAUUAGCUAGUAGGUGGGGUAAAGGCUCACCUAGGCGACGAUCCCUAGCUGGUCUGAGAGGAUGACCAGCCACACUGGAACUGAGACACGGCCCAGACUCCUACGGGAGGCAGCAGUGGGGAAUAUUGCACAAUGGGCGCAAGCCUGAUGCAGCCAUGCCGCGUGUAUGAAGAAGGCCUUAGGGUUGUAAAGUACUUUCAGCGGGGAGGCGUUACCCGCAGAAGAAGCACCGGCUAACUCCGUGCCAGCAGCCGCGGUAAUUC